CACACGCUCUACUGCGCAUGUGCGAGGGGGGCCUGUCCUGGGCGGGGCUAGAUGGAGCUGCUGAAGUGAAAGUGGGAAAGGGCCGGGGCGCGAGACUCUGGCACUACUGCGCACGCGCGAGGGCCUGUUCUGGGCGGGCUUCGCUCCUGAGGCCGACAAGGGCGGCGCGUUUCGUCGCUUCUGUAAUAGAAGAUGCAGAUUUAAACCAUCAUCAUGUUGUACUCCAGGAAAAGGUCCAUCAAACAGGAUGAAAGCUUUGAAAUGCAUUGGUCAAGAUCCAGAUCCAUG